UUGAUCUCUCAUUUCCGCCUCUCUUUCUCAUUGAGACACUGACUCACUCUCUCUGUCUCUCAGUUCCCAGAUUUAAUCUCACUGACUCACUCUCGGAGAUUAUUGACUCCUCCCUCUCUCUCAGUCUCUCUGACCGCGUUUCGACCUCAGCCCGACCGCGUUUCGACCUCAGCCCCGACCUCCCUCUCUCUCUGUCCCGGAUCCCGAUCGCGUUUCGACCUCAGCCCCGACCUCCGAGUCUCGACCUCUCCCUCUCUCUCUGACCUCUGUCUUGAUCACGGUUCAACCUCAUCGAUCUGGGCUUUUUGAGCAAAACCUCAUCGAUCUUCGUUUUGGGUUUUAUUGUACUUUCGGCGUUUGAUUUGGAUAUAUUUGGAUUUCGUUGGACUUGAGAUUGAAUUAGGUUGAAUUUGGAGGUGUUUGAAGUUAAGGAGCUUCAAUUCUCCUGAGGGUUUGAAUUCAGUUGAGAUUUGGUAUCUGGGUAGCGGUCCAUUUGGGAUUGCUUUGUUGACUUGAGCAUGGUGUAAUUUAAUCAAACUGCUGCCCUGCUGCCUUGAUUUUGGGUUUGAAAUAUGGGGGGUUUGGAAUAAGGAGUGAUCAGUAGCAAACAUUAUGAAGAGGCAAUCUAAAUCUGCUGCUACUAGUUCCGAUGCUAAUCCGAAAUCAACUUCUUCAUCUCAGUUUCUGUUGUGUGCGUAAAAACUGCAGUUUCAGUUUUCUGUUUCUUAUUGCAGUUUCAGAAAUUGGAGUAGUCGGAGCGGAAUGUUACCUCCAAAGUCGAAGACUUCAUCAGUUCAUCUAUCCGAGCUUGAGAUCAUGCCAUUGUCCUCCUUCAUAUGUUGAUGUUGGUUCUUUGUUUUUGUGAUGUUUAAUCUUGUAGUGAACUUAUACAUUUUUAAUUUGUGAGGUUAGUGUUGAUGUACCUAUGGACUUUGGACUUUGGACUCUAUAUUUUUUUACCAUUUCAUAUUGAAGUAUUGAAG